rnacentral:tRNA from 1 species
UAAGAAGGUGCCUGAAAAAGGAUUAUUUUGAUGUAAUAAAUCAUGUUCACUGAACUCUUCUU